UAUCUCUGUAGAGUCUGCAUAUCAAUAAGCGGAGGAAAAGAAACUAACUAGGAUUCCCUUAGUAACGGCGAGUGAAGCGGGAAGAGCUCAAAUUUGAAAUCUUCAAGGUUUACCUUGACGAAUUGUAGUUUAAAGAAGUGUUUUCUGUUGGAGUUUCGGUAAAAGUUCUUUGGAAUAGGACAUCAUAGAGGGUGAGAAUCCCGUAUUUGACCAUUAUUUCCAACUUUGUGAUACACUUUCAAAGAGUCGGAUUGUUUGGGAAUGCAGUCCAAAAUGGGUGGUAAAUUUCAUCUAAAGCUAAAUACUGGCGAGAGACCGAUAGCGAACAAGUACCGUGAGGGAAGGAUGAAAAGAACUUUGAAAAGAGAGUUAAACAGUACGUGAAAUUGUCAAAAGGGAAGCGUUUGACACCAGUGUUGUUUUCUCGAAAAUCAAUUAAAAAUGGCGGGAUUUUGUGUUGUAUUGACUUUAUCAGCUUUCUGCACUUUUUUCCUGUCUUUUUAAUGCACUUUUCGUUUAACAAGUCAACAUCAAUUUCUUUUGUUGUAAAAGGGUCAUUGGAGGGUGGCUUUCUUUUCGGAGAAAGUGUUUAUAGCCUUUGACUUCUGCAAUCGGAGAGAUUGAGGUCUGCAGCGUAGAUCCUUCGGGGUUAGAUGCAUUUGUGCUAAGUUAUAGCCUUUCAUAGACAACUUGUUGACUAUGAUCAGUCAUGUAGCUUACUCGCUUAUGUCAUUUUACCUACGCUUAGGAUGUUGAUCUCUCACAGUCGAGC
rnacentral:rRNA from 1 species